CGGUCACGCAAAGCGAGGCUGCCGGCUCGGCUCGGCGCAGGGCGGCCCGGGAAGUGUAGUUCUCUCACUUCCCUCCGACCCGGGAGAGCACCCCGAAUCCUCCGCGGGGAACUGCUCCAUCUCCACACUCAGACGGCAGCUCCGGCCUCAGCCCGCCUAGGCAGAAUAAUCCCUCCUGGGGGGCGUCUCGCGGGCAGAGCCAGCGACCCCCGGACGUGGCGAGGACUACAUUUCCCAGGAUGCCGUGCGCUGGGUUUCGUUCGGCGCUGAAUAGAGACCCGAAAUUGAGCUCUUCGCGGACAAUUGGAAGUGGCUUUUAUCACUUUGGACCUGAUGGCUAAAGAAAGGAGCCAUAUACCUCCAGAAGACUGCUCCCUUGGCCAUAAGAGAGAACAUUGGAAGGACCAUUCAAGCAAAUCAUGGAAGACACCUAACAGAGUGUCAGCAAAUGUUUAUUAAACUACAUUAAUUGACUGAUCCCAUAACACUUAAAAGAUCCUAUUAGAGAGGUGGAGUCAAGUCCAGUAAGAAACACCACCAAAAGCACUGUCCAAACCCUCCCCCUCUGUACAAAGUGCAGUGGGCGUCAGCAUGGAGACCUCCCAGUUCUGUGUAUUGGUAAAUCCACAAGGAAUGGAAUGGAGGCUUCCUCCCAUGGACUCAGAAUCCAGAGAAUCUCUGCUGCUACCACAGAAGACAUUUCGGAAAGAUGUGAUUACUGAGCCAAGUGAGCAUUCCCAAAUCCUUGCUAUUUCCCAGACACAUGAGCUCAACAGUAUUGACAGAGCUUAGGGAGCCUGUUAUGUCCUACAGAUGGAAUGUUGUAGAACACAACCUAGACAUCAUCGAAUGUGGCCAUGAAAUAUUUCCAGUGAAAGUUUUAUUUCUACUUCCCCACCAUUCAGCUUCUCAAUCUACUGGUCAUGAGAAGUUACUUUGCUUGAUCAGAAUUUGAGUUGAAAUUUUUUCAGAGAAUAAAGAAAAUUCCCAAAGGUCUAACACAGAACAAAUGGCCAUGCUAAAUCAUACUAAAUAAUUCAGUGCAGCACUUCCAGACGUCUGCAAGAUUCUUCUUGGCACAGAUUCUUUUCUAUGCUGAGCGUGUGCCUGUGGUUAUCUCCAUGUUUUUAUAAGACUCAACUCCACUGACAGCAGUUAACUUGGACCCAACCAGAUCAACUAAGGUCCUUCUCUAGCAUUAGAUUUGGCCCAGAGAGCUUCUUGGCAUCUCAGUGGUUGAAACUUUAUGAUAUGUAAUUUAAGAACUAUCAGUAGCCAUAUUUGCCUGCUUCUGAAGAGUGCUGGUUUACAGUGAGAGGGAAUAAGGCCUACCUAUGGAGAGAAACAGAGACAGAAACAGUCCCAGUGAGGUUCAUGUUUCUGGUUCCGGUUGUUCCUGAUGCCCCUCUGCUUCCGCGCACUUCCAGAAGCAGGAGCUGAACACACAGGAACUGGUGCCUUAAGGGAAUGGAGGCCAUGAAGGCUGAUGAGGUCUGGAGGUUGAUGAGGUCCAGAGGUUGAGGAGCCAGGAAGAAGGUAGACCUAAAGUCCUAAAAUCACCACGAUGCAACAUCUCUAGGCCAGGCAUUCUAUUAAGCAAAAGGAAAGCCUACAUUUAACAUUUUUGCAAACAUCAAAACAAAAUUAUGUAUUUGGAAUAGAGGAAUGAGGAGAAGUCGGAGAAGUAUGCCCUAGAGAACCACAGAGUCAGAGGGACUAUAGUCUCAGCGACUGAGAACGGAGCAUCUUGAAUGGUGCUGGGACAGAGAAACUAAACCCUGGUAGGAAAAGGGUCCCAAGGGAGACAAGGCAUGGGGCCAAGGAAGACUGAGGGAGACAGCGACCUGCCGAGGCACUGGAGCUGCAGAAUCACUGGGGCUCACAGAUUUAUGAGUUUGUGUGGCAUUCACAUGGAUCUGCCCUUCUGUCAAAGUGGCCAUAACGGAUGUGAUCUCACAAAGGCAUCCGACAAAGCUUUGUGAAAAGCCCUAUUUUGGAAAUGAACAGUAAAAUACUAUAAACGCAUCACUCUCUGUUUUCUAAGAAAAAUUAAAACCAUAACAUUUCAGAAAAGUAGAAAUAUAAGUAUUCAAGUUAGCAAUUUUGUAAUAUAAACUUUCACUAGUUGAUAUUUGAUAUAUACCCCACGUGAAGAGUUAGGUGUGACGAAUGGUCUUUAAAAUAAAUAGCACCUGAGGAUUACUACAGAGAAGAUCUGAAAACCCACUAAUAUGAGGACAAAGAAUGGUAGGAUCCAUAUGGCCCAGAGAAUAAUUUGGUAACGAGCUAGGACAUAAACCUAAGAGGGAGUAUCUAACAUUUCCAUUAAUGACAUGAGUCAUUUACUGUCUGUAAGCCCUAAGGCAAGUCAGUUCAUCUUUUGGGGAUGAAAUGUCCUUAUUUAUGAAACAGAGAAUGUGGCCCCUUCCAAUUCUAACAGUCUCUGAUUCUGUAUCCCACCCGCUCACCGCCCCCCCCCCUUUUUUCCUGCUUCGGGGCUAAUUAUAUUUUCAAAGAAUACAUUUUGUUUGCCAAAAACAGAAGAAAACUUUACUCUUUGCUCAAGUGAAAGCAUUCAGCUGUCAAAGAUCUCAGUGUCCUAAAAUCUGCUGCCUCAGUUUCAGAUGGUGGAAGCUUUUCAGGAAGUGUAGGACUCCACGGUCAUCUAACUAGUGACAGGUAAAGAGCAGAUGGGUUUCUCACUGACAUCGUCUGCAUCAUGAAAACCUUCCUUCUUUCAGGCAUGCCUUUCCAAUGCUAACUGACAUCAGAACUCUUUCCACUGUGUAUCCUAAAGCUAUAGUCCACACUGGAUGCAGCUUCCUUUUCCCCUUUGGAUUCUGUCCACACACACACACACACACACACACACACACACACCAUGCAAUUUCUUUUAUUUUCUUUCUUUUUUUUUUUUUAUUCAUUUAUUUUGAAAGAGAGAGUGUGUGUGCAGAAGGGGCAGAGAGAGGGAGAAAGAGAGAAUCCCAAGCAGGCUUUGCACCAUCAGCGCAGAGCCUGACGUGGGGCUCGAACACAUGAACUGUGAGAUCAUGACCCAAGCCGAAGUUGGAUGCUUAACUGACGGAGCCAGCCAGGUGCCCACACAGUUUCUAAAGAAGAUUCUUUAUAAAACUUUAAAACAUGAGAGCACUUGGUGUUCACCAGCCCUUUUCUCUAAGCAGCCCGAACAUUUUACAGACCUCAUCUCAUUAAUCCUCACAACAUAUGCUAUUAAAAUGGUAAUUUUAAAAUAGGCUAUGUUGUGAGGAUUAAUGAGAGGACAUCUGUAAGACACUUGGAGGCUUUCCGGAGAGAAUUAACAAAUAAAUACAGCAUAGCUUCUUGGUGGAAAUGAAAGAGAAAAUCCAACGUGUCUAAGGGACAUCCAGGUAGGACAGAGGGGAUGCUGAUAAAACUGCUAAGGGAUGUGGAGGUGCGAUUCCUGAGGUCCAGUAUUUGACAUGAACUGUCUCUCACUUUAGAGUGUUCAUACACUUAAAAAAGAAGUUGGGGUAUGAAAAAAGAGGGGUGCCUGGGUGGAUCAGUCAGAUAAGCAUCCAAGUCUUGAUUUGGGUUCAGGUCACCAUCUCGCAGUUUGUGAGUUUGAGCCCCACGUGGGGCUCUGCGCUGCCAGUGAGGAAAGAUCCUCUUGGGAUUCUCUCUCUCUUCCUCUCUUUCUACCCCUUCCCUGUUCUCACUCGCUCUGGCUCUCUCAAAAUAAAUAAGCUUAAAAACAAAAAAAGUUGGGGUGUUGAGGAGGUGAGAAUGCAGGACUGUUUUAGGGAUAGCUUCUACAUGAUCACUUAGUGAAAACAUCUUUAAUCCAAGAAUAAUUCCGAAAGGCAAACACCAUCCACAUGACUAAAUAGGUACAUUGUCUUCUUCUUGUUUAUGAUAAAUGAGUGUCUUUGAUUUCUGAUCAAUCUGCUUAUUUCAGGCUACCCUACCUUGGAAGAUCUUCUUGACCAUAUCUUGAUCUUUGUUUUGAUGUUUCCAUAACUUCAGUAGCUGGAAAGUUUGUUCUUGUGAACUGUGUUGCCGUUUUAUCUUUUCCACACUCUCCGCAUUUACCCUGGUGCCAGGCAAAUUGUCUGCCAGGAUGCUAAGCCAGUUAGGGGUGAAUUUUGUAGGAACAGCAAACCUGAAGAAUGCCUCCUCGCACAGGGUGACAUCUGAAGGUAGGAAAACCAAGAUUUACUUAACAACUGGAUUCUUGGAAGUCUAGUGGACAAUAAAUAAAUAAGCCAGCACCGUAAGGUUUUUCAAAGUACAGUAUGUUAAAACGUGAAAUUUGAAUAAAACCAACCCUCUGUU